UCUUUAACACCAAUUGACAUCUCUUGAUUAUUUGCGGAUAGAGAAUAGUUGUGAUUCACUGAAGUCCUUCCCGUUGGGCAUUCUUCCAAAUCUUUCUCAUCUUGUAAUCCACACCUGUGAGAAUCUGGAAUCUCUUUCCAUUGAAGGAGUAGAUGAAAAUCUCAGCCAUCUCAACAAAUUGCAGAUCCGGAGCUGUCAAAAUUUGCUCUCUUUUCCCCGCAGUGGAUUGCCUACUCCCAACUUGACUGACUUGAGAGUCUUGCAAUGCAAGAAUUUGGAGUCAAUGCCUAAAAAAAUUCACACACUGAUUGCCCUUCGCCAAUUGGAGUUAUCCGAUCUUCCAAAGCUCGUGUCAUUUGCACGAGAAGGUUUGCCUCCCAACCUACAGCUCUUCACAGUCUCCACAUCUUUGGACUAUCAAGUCUGAAAGUUGUUAAUGGGAGGGGACUUCAACACCUCACUUCUCUUCGACGGCUAAAAAUAAAUCAGUCUCCAAGUCUUGAGUUCCUGCCAGAAGAGGGUUUCCCAGCAUCACUUUCUUGCCUAAGCAUUCACAGAUGUUCUUCCCUCACAAAAAGGUGUCAGAAUAAGACUGGAGAAGAUUGGGCCAAGAUAUCUCUCAUUCCUUUAAUAAAGAUAGAUGACGAAGUGCAUAUCAUAUGAUCUCUACUUCACAUAAAGUUUUAGCUUUUAUUUCACUCUCGAAUCCACAUCAGCGGCAUCAUGUAGAGCAGAGAUGUGAAAAGAAAACACUUCCAGUUGACAUUUACAGUGAAUAAAUAUGAAGGGAAACAUGCUCUUUGCAAUUUGAUGUGAAAUCCAAGUUUAAGGAAAAGCAUCAAGGUCUUUGCCUCUAACUUCGGAAGGACUCUGAAUGCAUUAAGCAAUUGGGAGACAGUAACCCCGUUGAAGAUUCAAACAUUAAAGAAACUGAUAGGAAACUGGACUGCGAAGUGCAAUGGUUUGCCUUUAAUUGCACGAGCACUAGGGGGUCUCUUACGGGGCACAAUUUCUGGCUUUGAGGAAUGGCAUCACAUAUUAAAUAGCAAUACUUGGGAGCUACCCUCAAUUGCUCGCAUACUCCCAAUUUGUUUACUACAACAAUUAAGGCAGAAGCGCAGAGAAUCACAUUAAGUACGCCACUCUGCUAGGACAGAGGGAUACUCAGCAGAGUGGCUCUUUCUAGUCAGUAGCCUUCGCAUGGAAUUUUGUCAGCCGCUUGUGUUCAGGUUUCUCCUCAAGUAGGCAUCGGUAUGCGUUGUUCGAUGUGCUCUUGGCUAUUGCAGCUCUACUCGCAUAUGGGAGCUGAUUUACAAACGUAGGUAAAACUGUUGCGUAGAGGAAGAGGGGGUGUUACAUGCUUUUUGGUUCCGUCAUUGAAAUUUAUGGGUUAGUCGGAGCCUUCGCUCAAUGUGUUUGCUCGAUAAUUCAAUACGUAUACUACAUUCGGCGUGCUGAUACUACUAUCAAACUGUCCUUUACCAGGAAAUGAGACAGGAAGCAAAAGAAAUCCUGGUUUAUUUUUUAUUUUUUUACCGAAUAUGGGCAAGAAAAGAGGUCAGGGGAAAGCCCAGAGGAGGAUAAUUGUUUGCCAAACUGAAGUUUGGGUCAUGUUUUGCAGAAAGACACAAUCUUUGAGAGACCCAAAGGAGGGGAAGAGACAGAGAUCGAAAUCAUGGGUUGCUUUCUUGCAUGUUUUGGUUCUUCCAAAAACAAAAAAAACGCAGGAGUAAUAGGAUGUACUCUGUGAGUAUGUUCUUGCAUCUUUGAGAGACCCAGAGGAGGGAAAGAUAGAGAUCGAAAUCAUGGGAAGGAAUACGAUAUCCUCCUUUCUGUUUUAUCAUUUUUUAGAUUUAUUUAAAAAGUAAAAAUGAUAUUAAAUUCCACCUGUGUAAAAAUAAUGACCCAUCGCGUUUCUCAGAACAACACGUUUCUUUAAUAAAAGUAGAGUCCAACAAUAUAUAUAGAUUUCAUCUCUAUUAAAAAGAUGAUACAAAUAUUUAGUUAUUUUUUAAAAGGAGGUGGAAUGAAUACACUGAAUAGGACAUGAAACUUUUU